rnacentral:sRNA from 1 species
GGCUAGUGAUGAGGCUGUGUGCUUCUGAGCUGGGCAUCCGAAGGCAUCCUUGGGGAAGCUGAGGGCACGAGGAGGGGCUGCCAGACUCCGGGAGCUGCUGCCUGGCUGGGAUUCCUACACAAUGCGUUGCCUGGCUCCACGCCCUGCUGGGUCCUACCUGUCAGAGCCCCAAGGCAGCUCACAGUGUGCCACCAUGGAGUUGGGGCCCCUAGAAGGUGGCUACCUGGAGCUUCUUAACAGCGAUGCUGACCCCGUGUGCCUCUACCACUUCUAUGACCAGAUGGACCUCGCUGGAGAAGAAGAGAUUGAGCUCUACUCAGAACCCGACACAGACACCAUCAACUGUGACCAGUUCAGCAGGCUGUUGUGUGACAUGGAAGGUGAUGAAGAGACCAGGGAGGCUUAUGCCAAUAUCGCGGAACUGGACCAGUAUGUCUUCCAGGACUCCCAGCUGGAGGGCCUGAGCAAAGACAUUUUCAAGCACAUAGGACCAGAUGAAGUGAUCGGUGAGAGUAUGGAGAUGCCAGCAGAAGUUGGGCAGAAAAGUCAGAAAAGACCCUUCCCAGAGGAGCUUCCGGCAGACCUGAAGCACUGGAAGCCAGCUGAACCCCCCACUGUGGUGACUGGCAGUCUCCUAGUGGGACCAGUGAGCGACUGCUCCACCCUGCCCUGCCUGCCACUGCCUGCGCUGUUCAACCAGGAGCCAGCCUCCGGCCAGAUGCGCCUGGAGAAAACCGACCAGAUUCCCAUGCCUUCCUCCAGUUCCUCGUUGAGCUGCCUGAAUCUCCCUGAGGGACCCAUCCAGUUUGUCCCCACCAUCUCCACUCUGCCCCAUGGGCUCUGGCAAAUCUCUGAGGCUGGAACAGGGGUCUCCAGUAUAUUCAUCUACCAUGGUGAGGUACCCCAGGCCAGCCAAGUACCCCCUCCCAGUGGAUUCACUGUCCAUGGCCUCCCAACAUCUCCAGACCGGCCAGGCUCCACCAGCCCCUUCGCUCCAUCAGCCACUGACCUGCCCAGCAUGCCUGAACCUGCCCUGACUUCCCGAGCAAACAUGACAGAGCACAAGACGUCCCCCACCCAAUGCCAGGCAGCUGGAGAGGUCUCCAACAAGCUUCCAAAAUGGCCUGAGCCGGUGGAGCAGUUCUACCGCUCACUGCAGGACACGUAUUGUGCCGAGCCCGCAGGCCCCGAUGGCAUCCUAGUGGAGGUGGAUCUGGUGCAGGCCAGGCUGGAGAGGAGCAGCAGCAAGAGCCUGGAGCGGGAACUGGCCACCCCGGACUGGGCAGAACGGCAGCUGGCCCAAGGAGGCCUGGCUGAGGUGCUGUUGGCUGCCAAGGAGCACCGGCGGCCGCGUGAGACACGAGUGAUUGCUGUGCUGGGCAAACCUGGUCAGGGCAAGAGCUAUUGGGCUGGGGCAGUGAGCCGGGCCUGGGCUUGUGGCCGGCUUCCCCAGUACGACUUUGUCUUCUCUGUCCCCUGCCAUUGCUUGAACCGUCCGGGGGAUGCCUAUGGCCUGCAGGAUCUGCUCUUCUCCCUGGGCCCACAGCCACUCGUGGCGGCCGAUGAGGUUUUCAGCCACAUCUUGAAGAGACCUGACCGCGUUCUGCUCAUCCUAGACGCCUUCGAGGAGCUGGAAGCGCAAGAUGGCUUCCUGCACAGCACGUGCGGACCGGCACCGGCGGAGCCCUGCUCCCUCCGGGGGCUGCUGGCCGGCCUUUUCCAGAAGAAGCUGCUCCGAGGUUGCACCCUCCUCCUCACAGCCCGGCCCCGGGGCCGCCUGGUCCAGAGCCUGAGCAAGGCCGACGCCCUAUUUGAGCUGUCCGGCUUCUCCAUGGAGCAGGCCCAGGCCUACGUGAUGCGCUACUUUGAGAGCUCAGGGAUGACAGAGCACCAAGACAGAGCCCUGACGCUCCUCCGGGACCGGCCACUUCUUCUCAGUCACAGCCACAGCCCUACUUUGUGCCGGGCAGUGUGCCAGCUCUCAGAGGCCCUGCUGGAGCUUGGGGAGGACGCCAAGCUUCCCUCCACGCUCACGGGACUCUAUGUCGGCCUGCUGGGCCGUGCAGCCCUCAACAGCCCCCCCGGGGCCCUGGCAGAGCUGGCCAAGCUGGCCUGGGAGCUGGGCCGCAGACAUCAAAGUACCCUACAGCAGGACCAGUUCCCAUCCGCAGACGUGAGGACCUGGGCGAUGGCCAAAGGCUUAGUCCAACACCCACCGGGGGCCGCAGAGUCCGAGCUGGCCUUCCCCAGCUUCCUCCUGCAAUGCUUCCUGGGGGCCCUGUGGCUGGCUCUGAGUGGCGAAAUCAAGGACAAGGAGCUCCCGCAGUACCUAGCAUUGACCCCAAGGAAGAAGAGGCCCUAUGACAACUGGCUGGAGGGCGUGCCACGCUUUCUGGCUGGGCUGAUCUUCCAGCCUCGCGCCCGCUGCCUGGGAGCCCUAGUCGGGCCAUCGGCGGCUGCCUUGGCGGACAGGAAGCAGAAGGUGCUUGCGAGGUACCUGAAGCGGCUGCAGCCGGGGACACUGCGGGCGCGGCAGCUGCUGGAACUGCUGCACUGCGCCCACGAGGCCGAGGAGGCUGGAAUUUGGCAGCACGUGGUACAGGAGCUCCCCGGCCGCCUCUCUUUUCUGGGCACCCGUCUCACGCCUCCUGAUGCACAUGUACUGGGCAAGGCCUUGGAGGCGGCGGGCCAAGACUUCUCCCUGGACCUCCGCAGCACUGGCAUUUGCCCCUCUGGAUUGGGGAGCCUCGUGGGACUCAGCUGUGUCACCCGUUUCAGGUGGGGCGAGGGCCUUGGGGAAGAGGCAUCCUUGUGUUGGGCAUUAACUGCGGUCUUGGUGCCAAGCCCAGUGCUCUGUGGGGUCUCUUUUAGUAUGCAGAGCAGCCGGGUGGGGCAGAAUGGAUUCUCUCCAUUUUUAAGAUGAGGAUGUUGAGGCUCAGAGAGGGGCAGCCACUUGCCACAUAGCAAGUGAGAGGCAAUGGCAUUCUCCCAAUCAAUAUUUGAAGGCCCGCCAUGUGCCAGUCACUGGGGUAUGUCUAGAAUCUGAGACUGACCUGGGCUCAAAUUUGUUUUAUUCUUUCCACCCCCUGAGCAAGCCACCGUUUUCUUAUGCUAAGAGUAAAGCCAUGGUCUCCCCUUGGACUCUAUGCCUCCAUUCUCUCCUCUUCCACUCCAUUUUGUAUUCAGCAACCAGACCAAUCUUCUCAGAACUUGAAUCUGAUUGUAUCCCAUUCCUGCUUACAGUCCUUCAGGGACACUCCACCACCGUCAGGAUGAAGGCUAAAUUCCUUAAUUUGGUUUCAUUAAGUCGGUCUGCAAUCUGCUUGAGCAUUUCAGCUUAAUCUCCAGAGGAUUGCUUCCAUAUUUCCCCCUAAACAUACUUUACCCAAGCUGUAAGGUCCUACAUAAUUGUGCCAAUAAUUUAGCAGUGAGCUUCCUGGUAGCCGAAGCAAAAAGGGAAAGAAAACCACUGUGUGAGUUGUGAGAAAGUAGGAAUCAAUAAAGGCUGGAGUGGUCAUGGAAGGCUUUCUGGGAAAGGUAGAGGUUGAGCUAAGGAAAGAAAGUAUUUUAAUAGGUUAGAGGACCCUUCAUGGAGCUGCCCUUCCAUUAAGGUCUAGCCUGGUCACCAUGCCUGGGUCUGAGGCCCUCCCUCCACAGGGCUGCCUUGAGUGACACAGUGGCGCUGUGGGAGUCCCUGCGGCAGCAUGGGGAGACCAAGCUACUUCAGGCAGCAGAGGAGAAGUUCACCAUCGAGCCUUUCAAAGCCAAGUCCCUGAAGGAUGUGGAAGACCUGGGAAAGCUUGUGCAGACUCAGAGGACGAGAAGUUCCUCGGAAGACACAGCUGGGGAGCUCCCUGCUGUUCGGGACCUAAAGAAACUGGAGUUUGCGCUGGGCCCUGUCUCAGGCCCCCAGGCUUUCCCCAAACUGGUGCGGAUCCUCACGGCCUUUUCCUCCCUGCAGCAUCUGGACCUGGAUGCGCUGAGUGAGAACAAGAUCGGGGACGAGGGUGUCUCACAGCUCUCAGCCACCUUCCCCCAGCUGAAGUCCUUGGAAACCCUCAAUCUGUCCCAGAACAACAUCACUGACCUGGGUGCCUACAAACUCGCCGAGGCCCUGCCUUCACUCGCUGCAUCCCUGCUCAGGCUAAGCUUGUACAAUAACUGCAUCUGCGACGUGGGAGCCGAGAGCUUGGCUCGUGUGCUUCCAGACAUGGUGUCCCUCCGGGUGAUGGACGUCCAGUACAACAAGUUCACGGCUGCCGGAGCCCAGCAGCUCGCUGCCAGCCUUCGGAGGUGUCCUCAUGUGGAGACGCUGGCGAUGUGGACGCCCACCAUCCCAUUCAGUGUCCAGGAACACCUGCAACAACAGGAUUCACGGAUCAGCCUGAGAUGAUCCCAGCUGUGCUCUGGACAGGCAUGUUCUCUGAGGACACUAACCACGCUGGACCUUGAACUGGGUACUUGUGGACACAGCUCUUCUCCAGGCUGUAUCCCAUGAGCCUCAGCAUCCUGGCACCUGGCCCCUGCUGGUUCAGGGUUGGCCCCUGCCCGGCUGCGGAAUGAACCACAUCUUGCUCUGCUGACAGACACAGGCCCGGCUCCAGGCUCCUUUAGCGCCCAGUUGGGUGGAUGCCUGGUGGCAGCUGCGGUCCACCCAGGAGCCCUGAGGCCUUCUCUGAAGGACAUUGUGGACAGCCACGGCCAGGCCAGAGGGAGUGACAGAGGCAGCCCCAUUCUGCCCGCCCAGGCCCCUGCCACCCUGGGGAGAAAGUACUUCUUUUUUUUUAUUUUUAGACAGAGUCUCACUGUUGCCCAGGCUGGCGUGCAGUGGUGCGAUCUGGGUUCACUGCAACCUCCGCCUCUUGGGUUCAAGCGAUUCUUCUGCUUCAGCCUCCCGAGUAGCUGGGACUACAGGCACCCACCAUCAUGUCUGGCUAAUUUUUUAUUUUUAGUAGAGACAGGGUUUUGCCAUGUUGGCCAGGCUGGUCUCAAACUCUUGACCUCAGGUGAUCCACCCACCUCAGCCUCCCAAAGUGGUGGGAUUACAAGCAUGAGCCACUGCACCGGGCCACAGAGAAAGUACUUCUCCACCCUGCUCUCCGACCAGACACCUUGACAGGGCACACCGGGCACUCAGAAGACACUGAUGGGCAACCCCCAGCCUGCUAAUUCCCCAGAUUGCAACAGGCUGGGCUUCAGUGGCAGCUGCUUUUGUCUAUGGGACUCAAUGCACUGACGUUGUUGGCCAAAGCCAAAGCUAGGCCUGGCCAGAUGCACCAGCCCUUAGCAGGGAAACAGCUAAUGGGACACUAAUGGGGCGGUGAGAGGGGAACAGACUGGAA